CCUACGGGUGGCAGCAGUGAGGAAUAUUGGUCAAUGGACGCAAGUCUGAACCAGCCAAGUAGCGUGCAGGAUGACGGCCCUCCGGGUUGUAAACCUCUUUUGUCAGGGAGCAACGCCGGCUACGUGUAGCCGGACUGAGAGUACCUGAAGAAAAAGCAUCGGCUAACUCCGUGCCAGCAGCCGCGGUAAUACGGAGGAUGCGAGCGUUAUCCGGAUUUAUUGGGUUUAAGGGGUUCGUAGGCGGAAUGCCAAGUCAGCGGUAAAAUCGGGGGGCUCAACCUGGCUCCGCCGAUGAAACUGGCGUUCUUGAGUGCAGGAGAGGUAAGCGGAAUGCGUGGUGUAGCGGUGGAAUGCUUAGAGAUCAUACAGAACACCGGUUGCGAAGGCAGCUUACCAAGCUACUUCUGACGUUGAGGCACGAAAGCGUGGGGAGCAAACAGGAUUAGAUACCCCGGUAGUC
rnacentral:rRNA from 1 species